rnacentral:rRNA from 1 species
CGAAGUCGCAAGCUCGCGAGAGUAAGCUAAUCUCUUAAAGCCGUUCUCAGUUCGGACUGUAGGCUGCAACUCGCCUACACGAAGUCGGAAUCGCUAGUAAUCGCGGAUCAGCAUGCCGCGGUGAAUACGUUCCCGGGCCUUGUACACACCGCCCGUCACACCAUGGGAGUCGAUAACACCCGAAGCCUGUAGUCUAACCAUAUGGGGGACGCAGUCGAAGGUGGGAUUGAUAAUUAGGGUGAAGUCGUAACAAGGUACC